UAUGGUUGAGCGUUCACAUAUAUGUUUAACAUCGCAUCGUUCUUAAUGUGCAUAUGGUCGUUGGUCUCUAUCGUCUAUAACUGUAUUUCGUCUAAUGCUAUUAGCAUGUACCAACUUGGACAUUACUUAUCUCUUAAAUUGUUUUUUGUUUGUUUUUUUGCAUGCCGGGGCAUUUUUAGCUUUAAUGUAUAGGGUUUGUUCAUCAUUGUUAAAGGUCGUACGGUGACCUGGAGUAGUUUAUAUUUUAUAGUUUGUAUUACUUUUACUGUUCAAGUUGGUUUGUUUAUGGUGAUAUCCAUUUGACAUGGCUCAGUACUUAUAAAUCCCGCCAAUGUGUUGUUUGUAUUAUCUUUCAUUUUUGCUAAUAUGCUUUGUUCGUGUGACUUUUUGUGUUCCUUUG
rnacentral:lncRNA from 1 species